AGCAAUGUACAACCACCGCACGUGCUGAAGGUGACGAAGACCCUGUUCGUGCGAGCCUUUGACUUCAGCUACCUCCUAAAGGACAUCCCCCGAUGGCGGCCCACCCCCUCUGGCGAUUACUUCACACAGCUUAUCUGGGCCAAAUCUCACCUGGUAGGCUGCGGAUACACCCUCUUCAUGGAGGAAGAGAUUGGCGUUCGCAUGCUCAUCUGCCUCUUCGGGCCCAAAGGUAACGUGGCGAAUGCGAGCGUCUACGAGGAAGGCGAGCCUGAAUGCGACGUCCCUUCUAAACACUACGAGGGCCUGUGCACCGAGCCGGCGGUCAACCAGGCCUUUAAACCCAUCCCCUGCCACCAAGAA